rnacentral:rRNA from 1 species
GAUUGAACGCUGGCGGCAUGCCUUACACAUGCAAGUCGAACGGCAGCACGGGUGCUUGCACCUGGUGGCGAGUGGCGAACGGGUGAGUAAUACAUCGGAACAUGUCCUGUAGUGGGGGAUAGCCCGGCGAAAGCCGGAUUAAUACCGCAUACGAUCUACGGAUGAAAGCGGGGGACCUUCGGGCCUCGCGCUAUAGGGUUGGCCGAUGGCUGAUUAGCUAGUUGGUGGGGUAAAGGCCUACCAAGGCGACGAUCAGUAGCUGGUCUGAGGGGACGACCAGCCACACUGGGACUGAGACACGGCCCAGACUCCUACGGGAGGCAGCAGUGGGGAAUUUUGGACAAUGGGCGAAAGCCUGAUCCAGCAAUGCCGCGUGUGUGAAGAAGGCCUUCGGGUUGUAAAGCACUUUUGUCCGGAAAGAAAUCCUUGGCUCUAAUACAGUCGGGGGAUGACGGUACCGGAAGAAUAAGCACCGGCUAACUACGUGCCAGCAGCCGCGGUAAUACGUAGGGUGCGAGCGUUAAUCGGAAUUACUGGGCGUAAAGCGUGCGCAGGCGGUUUGCUAAGACCGAUGUGAAAUCCCCGGGCUCAACCUGGGAACUGCAUUGGUGACUGGCAGGCUAGAGUAUGGCAGAGGGGGGUAGAAUUCCACGUGUAGCAGUGAAAUGCGUAGAGAUGUGGAGGAAUACCGAUGGCGAAGGCAGCCCCCUGGGCCCAAUACUGACGCUCAUGCACGAAAGCGUGGGGAGCAAACAGGAUUAGAUACCCUGGGUAGUCCACGCCCUAAACGAUGUCAACUAGUUGUUGGGGAUUCAUUUCCUUAGUAACGUAGCUAACGCGUGAAGUUGACCGCCUGGGGAGUACGGUCGCAAGAUUAAAACUCAAAGGAAUUGACGGGGACCCGCACAAGCGGUGGAUGAUGUGGAUUAAUUCGAUGCAACGCGAAAAACCUUACCUACCCUUGACAUGGUCGGAAUCCCGCUGAGAGGUGGGAGUGCUCGAAAGAGAACCGGCGCACAGGUGCUGCAUGGCUGUCGUCAGCUCGUGUCGUGAGAUGUUGGGUUAAGUCCCGCAACGAGCGCAACCCUUGUCCUUAGUUGCUACGCAAGAGCACUCUAAGGAGACUGCCGGUGACAAACCGGAGGAAGGUGGGGAUGACGUCAAGUCCUCAUGGCCCUUAUGGGUAGGGCUUCACACGUCAUACAAUGGUCGGAACAGAGGGUUGCCAACCCGCGAGGGGGAGCUAAUCCCAGAAAACCGAUCGUAGUCCGGAUUGCACUCUGCAACUCGAGUGCAUGAAGCUGGAAUCGCUAGUAAUCGCGGAUCAGCAUGCCGCGGUGAAUACGUUCCCAGGUCUUGUACACACC